rnacentral:rRNA from 1 species
GGAUAACCUGCCCUUAGGUCUGGCAUAACCCCGGGAAACUGGGGAUAAUUCCGGAUAGAUCAUCGAUGCUGGAAUGCGCUUUGAUCCAAAGCUAUUGUGCCUAAGGAUGGGUCUGCGGUCUAUCAGGUCGUAGUGGGUGUAAUGUACCUACUAGCCUACGACGGAUACGGGUUGUGGGAGCAAGAGCCCGGAGAUGGAUUCUGAGACAUGAAUCCAGGCCCUACGGGGCGCAGCAGGCGCGAAAACUUUACAAUGCGGGGAACCGCGAUAAGGGGACACCGAGUGCCAGCAUCCUAUGUUGGCUGUCCAUAUGUCUAAAUCACAUGUGUUAGCAAGGGCCGGGCAAGACCGGUGCCAGCCGCCGCGGUAACACCGGCGGCCCGAGUGGUGGCCACUAUUAUUGGGUCUAAAGGGUCCGUAGCCGGUUUGGUCAGUCUUCCGGGAAAUCUGACGGCUCAACCGUUAGGCUUUCGGGGGAUACUACCAGGCUUGGGACCGGGAGAGGUAAGAGGUACUACGGGGGUAGGAGUGAAAUCUUGUAAUCCCUGUGGGACCACCAGUGGCGAAGGCGUCUUACCAGAACGGGUCCGACGGUGAGGGACGAAAGCUGGGGGCACGAACCGGAUUAGAUACCCGGGUAGUCCCAGCUGUAAACUAUGCUCGCUAGGUGUCAGGGACGGUGCGACCGUUUCUGGUGCCGCAGGGAAGCCGUGAAGCGAGCCACCUGGGAAGUACGGUCGCAAGGCUGAGACUUAA